rnacentral:rRNA from 1 species
AGAGUUUGAUCCUGGCUCAGGAUGAACGCUGGCGGUAUGCUUAACACAUGCAAGUCGAACGGUGUCUUCGGACACAGUGGCGGACGGGUGAGUAACGCGUGAGAAUCUGGCUUUAGGUCUGGGACAACCACUGGAAACGGUGGCUAAUACCGGAUGUGCCGAGAGGUGAAAGGUUAACUGCCUGAAGAUGAGCUCGCGUCUGAUUAGCUAGUUGGAAGUGUAAUGGACUCCCAAGGCGACGAUCAGUAGCUGGUCUGAGAGGACGAUCAGCCACACUGGGACUGAGACACGGCCCAGACUCCUACGGGAGGCAGCAGUGGGGAAUUUUCCGCAAUGGGCGAAAGCCUGACGGAGCAAUACCGCGUGAGGGAGGAAGGCUCUUGGGUCGUAAACCUCUUUUCUCAGGGAAGAACAAAAUGACGGUACCUGAGGAAUAAGCAUCGGCUAACUCCGUGCCAGCAGCCGCGGUAAUACGGAGGAUGCAAGCGUUAUCCGGAAUGAUUGGGCGUAAAGCGUCCGCAGGUGGCUAUGUAAGUCUGCUGUUAAAGAAUCUAGCUUAACUAGAUAAGAGCAGUGGAAACUACAAGGCUAGAGUACGUUCGGGGCAGAGGGAAUUCCUGGUGUAGCGGUGAAAUGCGUAGAGAUCAGGGAAGAACACCGGGUGGCGAAGGNNCUCUGCUAGGUCGUAACUGACACUGAGGGACGAAAGCUAGGGGAGCGAAUGGGAUUAGAUACCCUAGUAGUCC